rnacentral:rRNA from 1 species
UACGUAGGUGGCAAGCGUUGUCCGGAUUUACUGGGCGUAAAGAGCGCGCAGGCGGUCGUUCAAGUCGCGUGUGAAAGCCCCCGGCUCAACUGGGGAGGGUCACUCGAUACUGAUCGACUUGAAGGCAGGAGAGGAAGGCGGAAUUCUCGGUGUAGAGGUGAAAUUCGUAGAUAUCGAGAGGAACACCGGUGGCGAAGGCGGCCUUCUGGACAGCAACUGACGCUGAGAUGCGAAAGCGUGGGGAGCAAACAGG